CACGUAGGAGGCGAGCGUUGUCCGGAAUCAUUGGGCGUAAAGAGCGCGCAGGCGGCUUGGCAAGUCGGGUGUGAAAUCCCGGGGCUCAACCCCGUGACUGCAUCCGAUACUGUCAGGCUAGAGGUAGGUAGGGGAGAUCGGAAUUCCUGGUGUAGCGGUGAAAUGCGCAGAUAUCAGGAGGAACACCGGUGGCGAAGGCGGAUCUCUGGGCCACUACUGACGCUGAGAAGCGAAAGCAUGGGGAGCGAACAGG
rnacentral:rRNA from 1 species